CGAAUCCCACUCCAGACACCA
rnacentral:miRNA from 1 species